rnacentral:rRNA from 1 species
UACGAAGGUGGCAAGCGUUGUUCGGAUUUACUGGGCGUACAGGGAGCGUAGGCGGUUCGGUAAGCCCUCUGUGAAAUCCCCGGGCUCAACCUGGGAACUGCCUUGUGACUGCAAGGCUAGAGUACGGCAGAGGGAGAUGGAAUUCCGCGUGUAGCAGUGAAUGCGUAGAUAUGCGGAGGAACACCGGUGGCGAAGGCGGGUCUCUGGGCCGAUACUGACGCUGAGGAGCGAAAGCGUGGGAGCGAACAGG